UUAAAAAUAAGCUAAUUAAAGCUUUUGGGCUCAUACCUCAAAUAUAAAGGAUCUCCUUUUUUUUAAA
rnacentral:tRNA from 2 species